rnacentral:rRNA from 1 species
GACGAACGCUGGCGGCGUGCUUAACACAUGCAAGUCGAACGAAGUGGCGAACGGGUGAGUAACUCGUAAUCAACCUGCCCUUCAGAGGGGGACAACAGUUGGAAACGACUGCUAAUCCCGCAUACUGAAGGAGGGGAUUGCGUCUGAUUAGCUAUUUGGAGGGGUAACGGCCCACCAAGGCGAUGAUCAGUCGCUGGUCGGAGAGGAUGAACGGCCAAAUUGGGACUGGGACAAGGCCAAGACUCAUACGGGAGGCAGCAGGGGGGAAUCUGCCGCAAUGGACGAAAGUCUGACUGAGCAAGGCCGCGUGAGUGAUGACGGCCGUCGGGUUGUAAAGCUCUGUUAAUCGGGACGCGGUACCGGAAUAGAAAGCCACGGCUAACUACGUGCCAGCAGCCGCGGUAAUUC